rnacentral:rRNA from 1 species
AAUGAACGUUGGCGGCAUGGAUUAGGCAUGCAAGUCGAGCGAGAAGAGUUUUGAAGCUUGCUUUAGAACUCGGACAGCGGCGAAAGGGAGAGUAACGCGUAGUUAUGUGCCCUAGGGUCCGGAAUAGCCACGGGAAACUGUGGGCAAUGCCGGAUAAUAUCCCCGGAUCAAAGGUGUGAUUCCGCCCUAGGAGCAGACUGCGUCCUACUAGCUAGUUGGUGGGGUAAUGGCCCACCAAGGCAAUGAUGGGUAGCGGGUGUGAGAGCAUGACCCGUCUCACUGGGACUGGGACACUGCCCAGACACCUACGGGUGGCUGCAGUCGAGAAUCUUCGGCAAUGGGCAAAAGCCUGACCGAGCGAUGCCGCGUGCGGGAUGAAGGCCCUCGGGUUGUAAACCGCUGUCGUAGGGGAGGAAGGUUCCGUGAAGAGCGGGACUUGACCUAUCCUAGGAGGAAGUACGGGCUAAGUUCGUGCCAGCAGCCGCAGUAACAC